rnacentral:rRNA from 1 species
UAAUACGUAGGUGGCGAGCGUUGUCCGGAAUCACUGGGCGUAAAGGGCGCGUAGGCGGCGAUACAAGUCGCAUGUGAAAUUCCAGGGCUUAACCUUGGGGGGUCAUGCGAAACUGUAUUGCUUGAGUGCAGUAGAGGAAAGCGGAAUUCCUGGUGUAGCGGUAAAAUGCGUAGAGAUCAGGAGGAACACCGGUGGCGAAGGCGGCUUUCUGGGCUGCAACUGACGCUGAGGCGCGAAAGCGUGGGGAGCAAACAGG